rnacentral:rRNA from 1 species
GGGUUGUGAGGUUAAGCGACUAAGCGUACACGGUGGAUGCCUAGGCAAUCAGAGGCGAUGAAGGACGUGCUAAUCUGCGAUAAGCGUCGGUAAGGUGAUAUGAACCGUUACAACCGACGAUUUCCGAAUGGGGAAACCCAGUGCAAUUCGUUGCACUAUCGUUUGAUGAAUACAUAGUCAAACGAAGCGAACCGGGGGGAACUGAAACAUCUCAGUACCCCGAGGAAAAGAAAUCAACCGAGAUUCCCCUAGUAGCGGCGAGCGAACGGGGAGCAGCCCAGAGUCUUAAUCAGCAUUAGCAUCAGGAGAACGGUCUGGAAAGUCCGGCAGUAAAGGGUGAUAGCCCCGUAUCCGAAGGUGUUAGUGUUGUGAACUCGACGAGUAGGGCGGGACACGUGUUAUCCUGUCUGAAUAUGGGGGGGGACCAUCCUCCAAGGCUAAAUACUCCUGAUUGACCGAUAGUGAACCAGUACCGUGAGGGAAAGGCGAAAAGAACCCCGGCGAGGGGAGUGAAAUAGAACCUGAAACCGUGUACGUACAAGCAGUGGGAGCCUUGAUUUAUCAGGGUGACUGCGUACCUUUUGUAUAAUGGGUCAGCGACUUAUAUUCUGUAGCAAGGUUAACCGUAUAGGGAGCCGUAGGGAAACCGAGUCUUAACUGGGCGAAUAAGUUGCAGGGUAUAGACCCGAAACCCGGUGAUCUAGCCAUGGGCAGGUUGAAGGUUGGGUAACACUAACUGGAGGACCGAACCGACUAAUGUUGAAAAAUUAGCGGAUGACUUGUGGCUGGGGUGAAAGGCCAAUCAAACCGGGAGAUAGCUGGUUCUCCCCGAAAGCUAUUUAGGUAGCGCCUCGUGAACUCAUCUUCGGGGGUAGAGCACUGUUUCGACUAGGGGGUCAUCCCGACUUACCAACUCGAUGCAAACUACGAAUACCGAAGAAUGUUAUCACGGGAGACACACGGCGGGUGCUAACGUUCGUCGUGAAGAGGGAAACAACCCAGACCGCCAGCUAAGGUCCCAAAGUCAUAGUUAAGUGGGAAACGAAGUGGGAAGGCUCAGACAGCCAGGAUGUUGGCUUAGAAGCAGCCAUCAUUUAAAGAAAGCGUAAUAGCUCACUGGUCGAGUCGGCCUGCGCGGAAGAUGUAACGGGGCUAAACUAUGCACCGAAGCUGCGGCAGCGAUAUGUAAAUAUUGUUGGGUAGGGGAGCGUUCUGUAAGCCUGUGAAGGUGUGCUGUGAGGCAUGCUGGAGGUAUCAGAAGUGCGAAUGCUGACAUAAGUAACGAUAAUGCGGGUGAAAAACCCGCACGCCGGAAGACCAAGGGUUCCUGUCCAACGUUAAUCGGGGCAGGGUGAGUCGACCCUAAGGCGAGGCAGAAAUGCGUAGUCGAUGGGAAACGGGUUAAUAUUCCCGUACUGGUGAUAAUUGCGAUGGGGGGACGGAGAAGGCUAGGCUAUCCGGGCGACGGUUGUCCCGGUUUAAGGAUGUAGGCAGGUGAAUUAGGCAAAUCCGGUUCACUACAUGCUGAGGUCCGACGACGAGUCACUACGGUGAUGAAGUAGCUCAUGCCCCGCUUCCAGGAAAAGCCUCUAAGCUCUAGAUUAUCAUUAAUCGUACCCCAAACCGACACAGGUGGUCAGGUAGAGAAUACUCAGGCGCUUGAGAGAACUCGGGUGAAGGAACUAGGCAAAAUGGUGCCGUAACUUCGGGAGAAGGCACGCUGGCAUUAGGUGAAGUGAUUUACUCAUGGAGCUGAAGCCAGUCGCAGAUACCAGCUGGCUGCAACUGUUUAUUAAAAACACAGCACUGUGCAAACACGAAAGUGGACGUAUACGGUGUGACGCCUGCCCGGUGCUGGAAGGUUAAUUGAUGGGGUUAUCCGUAAGGAGAAGCUCUUGAUCGAAGCCCCAGUAAACGGCGGCCGUAACUAUAACGGUCCUAAGGUAGCGAAAUUCCUUGUCGGGUAAGUUCCGACCUGCACGAAUGGCGUAAUGAUGGCCAGGCUGUCUCCACCCGAGACUCAGUGAAAUUGAACUCGCUGUGAAGAUGCAGUGUACCCGCGGCAAGACGGAAAGACCCCGUGAACCUUUACUAUAGCUUGACACUGAACAUUGAGCCUUGAUGUGUAGGAUAGGUGGGAGGCUUCGAAGCGUGGACGCCAGUCUGCGUGGAGCCAACCUUGAAAUACCACCCUUUAAUGUUUGAUGUUCUAACGUUGCCCCAUUAUCUGGGGUGCGGACAGUGUCUGGUGGGUAGUUUGACUGGGGCGGUCUCCUCCCAAAGAGUAACGGAGGAGCACGAAGGUUGGCUAAGCAUGGUCGGACAUCAUGCGGUUAGUGCAAAGGCAUAAGCCAGCUUGACUGCGAGAGUGACGGCUCGAGCAGGUACGAAAGUAGGUCUUAGUGAUCCGGUGGUUCUGAAUGGAAGGGCCAUCGCUCAACGGAUAAAAGGUACUCCGGGGAUAACAGGCUGAUACCGCCCAAGAGUUCAUAUCGACGGCGGUGUUUGGCACCUCGAUGUCGGCUCAUCACAUCCUGGGGCUGAAGUAGGUCCCAAGGGUACGGCUGUUCGCCGUUUAAAGUGGUACGCGAGCUGGGUUUAGAACGUCGUGAGACAGUUCGGUCCCUAUCUGCCGUGGGCGUUGGAAGAUUGAAAGGGGCUGCUCCUAGUACGAGAGGACCGGAGUGGACGCACCACUGGUGUUCGGGUUGUCAUGCCAAUGGCAUUGCCCGGUAGCUAAGUGCGGAAGAGAUAACCGCUGAAAGCAUCUAAGCGGGAAACUUGCCUUGAGAUGAGUCUUCCCUGACCCUUUAAGGGUCCUAAAGGAACGUUUAAGACUAAGACGUUGAUAGGUUGGGUGUGUAAGCGUAGCGAUACGUUGAGCUAACCAAUACUAAUGAACCGUGAGGCUUAACCUGACAACACCGAAGGUGUUUUAG